AGCUGGGCAUGCUGUAACAAACAAGACAAAUUUGUUGUCUCAGGCCAGAUGCCUUGGCUCAUGUCUGUAAUCCCUGUACUUUGGGAGCACGAGAGGAUCUCUUGAGGUCAGGAGUUCGAGACCAGCCAGG